rnacentral:lncRNA from 1 species
CGCACACAUAAUGUAAUGUCAGAAAAGUUUCAUCAUUUGCUAUAUAGAAAUUUUUAUUUAUCAGAAUCCGGACAGCAAUCUAGAACAGAAAAUACUGUAUUUCAGCUCUUCUGUUUUUGUUGUGCGAGUCCAUUGCACUUCGACCAAUAAGAAAGCGUAUUGUAAUUAAUUGAUAUUGUUAUAGUCUAACGUUUAAUUGCUGAUAUUGUGAAUUUGAAUUAAAACGAUAGACAUUAUUCAGAUGGUUAUUUUUAAUAGGAGGCAGAAAUUAAACGGUAUUUUAAAGUUCUUUCUUGAACAUAUUAGAAAGUCUUUAUGUUUAAACAAACAGUUUAAAGAUACAAAUAUAAAAGUAGACAAUUUUGACAGUUAUAGAAGCGAAGUUUGGAAUGAAUAGUGCGAAUUGAUACUGAUAUUAUAAUCAUUCUAUACAAUAAAAAACGAUGUGAAAUAAAAAUCUUUUUAUAAUAAGUCUUGAUUGUGAAAAAAAUGAUGUGACAGAUGCUAACAUUAUACCAAAAAAAAUUCCUACUUUUGUUCGUUUUAUCCGAACUAUAAUAAAGUUUGAGGGAAAUUCUGUUAUCCCCUGGUGUAGUGGGCAUAGAACAGAGAACAGACAAUAGAAACAGCAUUUUUGGAGUUUGUUUUGUUUUCUGGUUAUGAGUAAACGGAGUCUUGAGAUUAGUUGCCGUUGACUAUUGACAAGCUUUGAUGAUGAGAUUAUUAAAUAUGAAGAGAUCACAAUAAAUCUUAAACAAUCUAAAAAUUGAUAUUUACCAAAUGGUAAUGAUACUGUCAGUUUAAUUAGUGAUCUCACGAACGUUCUCUUCAAGUCAAGUGAACUCUGUUGUAUGCGGCUACAUUAGGAAUUUUACGUUUAUAGGUAUUUUUUCUUUCCCUUUUAUUAUUUUAUUCGUGUAAAACUACUUUAUACUUUUAAUAUAUUUUUUAUCUUUAGUUUUAUUUUUAUAUCUUUUUAAUAAUUUUUUUAAUGUAAACUCUGAACGUUUACUCUUUAGUAUUACUCAAAUCAUUUUAUUUCACUAUUUUAAGAGAAAUCAGUGGAAAUACUUUCAAAGCAUUCCACGUUUUCUCCAUUCUUAAACAGCACUAGAAUCUAAACAUCUGAGUUUUAAAGCAAAAGAAGAGAGCCUCUCUUUUGUUUAAUGGACCGGCUUCUGCAACUCUCCCCCUCGUUUCAUUUUAUGGGGGGAAUAAAGUCAAAAAUAGUCAUGCAUUUUUCUAUAUUUCUUUUAUUUAAAUGAAUUUUAUGACAUUUUAAAUUAAAUCCUUUGAGCAUUUCUCACAAGGACUCAGAUUUCUAUUUGAUGCAUCAAAUGUAAGUUCGAAGUUUGAUUAAUCUAAAUAUUAACUAUUUUCAGGUACUAAUAAAUCAAAUCUUCAUGAAUAUUAGACUUUGUUUAAUCAAAGCUUCUCGGAGAUGAUUGGCAAAUUAUUUUAUUUGAACAGUCAAGAGUUUUUUUUUUUAUUGUUUGGUUUUGAAUGAUAUGUUCAGAUUAUAUUGUUUUAUUUCUUAGACUACUAGAUAGCUACAAGAUGAAGUCGAAAUCUUUUCAAACAACUGAAUGAUCUCUGUCAGAAUAAAUGGCUUGCAAACAGACAAGCUGCGAACAAGCGCUUGAAGCAAGCCCUGAGAAUGUAGUCUUUAUACUUACAUUUUCAAGAAAACACUGCAUUUAUUUUUAUAUUAAUAUUUUAAAAUGCCUUUAAUUGUUAAUACUUAUCAAUAAAAAAAAAUUCAAAUUUUAGUUUUAUUUAGAAAUUAUCUUAGAUUAUACUGUCUUUUAAUUCGAUAGCUGAAGUAAUUGCCUCGCCACCCCAAUUAUAAAGUAAGUCCUGUUUACAGGUGAAGAUUCAAGUUUCGAAAGAAGACUUUUUCAAUUAUCUUUAGAAGAUGAUUCAAUGAUCUAUGAUGCCAAAAUUAGAACUGAGAGAAGAUAUUUGAUACAGUAGGUGUAAUUAUCAGUGGUUUUUAAAUCUCCCGUGACUCUGCGGAGAAGCGAAGUUUAGCUAUAUUAGCAUGAAAAAUAAAAUAGCUUGUUUCUUAUAUUGUGUAAUGGGCUAAAUGUUUUUCGAGACUAGGUCAAACAUUCUUCACAUAAAAUAUAUGAUGCAGAACUGAAGCUUUGAAAUAUUGUUCAACUUGCAUAUAUUGUUGUUGCUUUUAAAAUGUCUUCUUAAUUUCUACUCACCAGAUGACUUAUAUUGAAUUUGCAUUAUUAGAGCAUAGAAUAGCAUUUUAAAAGGAAUCGAUGCUGUCGUUUGAAAAUAUAUUUCGCUUGAAUGAAGGAAUGAAGAACAAGGAAGUUCCUUUAGUUCCACUUGUAUGAUUCUGAAAACUAAUGAAAAGUUGAUCCGUGCUUGAGGACAAGAUAUUCAAUUUUUUAAAGGAACUUGCAAAGUCAUAUUUAUCAUCUUCAGAAAAAAGAUCAAUAGUAAGUUAAUUGCUGUUUAAAAAAACUAGUCACUCAUAUAAUCGAGAGAAAACAUAUUAGCAAAUUUUCUUAGCAGAUAAAUCUUAAUUUUCAGUUUAUAUAGAUUAAAUUUCAACAAUGUAUAAUGGUUCAGCAACUUUAACUGCCUCUAUCAAGAGGACAUAUUAAAUCGCCUCAAUAUCUACAGAAAAAAAAACAAUUACUUAAAAACGAUUUUCCUUUUUCAUUUUCCAUUAAAAACAGGGGCAAGACUACAGUCUUUUUCCUUUUUUCCAUAUCUCUGACGAAGAUCUAAAUAACUGUACUUUUUAACCAAUUGUAUCGAACUUCUUUUAAUCCAAUAUUCGAAGAAGAGAUUUAGGUUGAGAUUAGAUCUAUACAGAACUGUGACUUAUUUAAAUCUUUUUAUUCUGAUUAGAUGUGGUAUUUCUGUCAUGAUAGAGAACCGCC